NAAUACAAAAACUCACUGCAAAAAAAGAUAAACUUUAAGUACCAUGGUUUUACACUUUCUUACUUUAAUAUCCCGUGGUUUAAAGUGUAUCAAUUUAAUACCCUAUAGUUUUUUUUUUUUCUUUUUGUCAGCUCAUCCAUUAACAUUUCAUUAAAGUAUAUACAAAAAAACUUCAGAUAUUCCACCUAAAGUUAUCGAAUAUUCACUUUAGUACUUUUUAGUUUUAACUUUAUCACUGAUUUAACAAAAAAAAAUAGUGAAGAGAAUAAUAAAAAGAGAAAAAUAAAAUCACAGGGUACUAAAUUUAUGAGAAAUGAUUCGGUACUUUUUUUUAAAAAAAAUAAAAAAGAUCUUAACCAUUGAUUAAUAGAGGGUAAAAAUGUAACUUUAAUACUUAGCAGGUAAAAAAAUUAUUUUAUUCAAGGUUAGUUUGGUAAUUAAAUAAUACAAUAUUUAAAGAAACUUUUAAUUGAGAUCCUAACUUUAUGCAUUAAUUAGCACUAAUUUAGGAAAUUAAUUGAUUAACCAAAUUUAUGCAAUUAUUAGGCAUUAAUUUAGGAAUCUACUUUAAAUGUUUUAGUGUUUCUCAAAUUAUGCAUUAAUUUAAAUUAUAGAAAUUUUAGAAAUAGUUUUAUUUCUAAAUACGAUGAAUUUAAAUUUUAAAAAUUAAAUAUUUAAAAUUUAAAAGUGAAAUUUAAAUUAGAGGAGUUUCAUAUUACUAUUUAAAAACUAAAAUUCUACCAAGAUUUAAAAUACAGUUUAUUCGCACCAGUUUAAAACGUAAUGCAUAAAAAACUUAGAGAGUAAGAUUUCUACAACUAGAUUUCUCUAGAGGAAUUUCAUAUUACUAUUUAAAUUUUAAAUUCAAUGAUUUAAAAACUAGAUUGAACCGAUUGAUUUGACUGAUCAGACUUUGACCUAUUCUAUCAAGAAUCUGAUUUUAACCUAUUGAACCGAAU
rnacentral:lncRNA from 1 species